CGCACGACAAAUGUGUCCAAAAAUAUGCUUAACCUGCGCGUAGCAUAAGUUUCCACCCGGCAGGGGAAAACAGUUGCCAAACGUGUCGCUGCUGGUAGUGUAUAUACUGCCAAAGGAAGCAACCGAGCAAGCCUAUAGACCGUAGACAACAGACACGUUUAUGAAGGAACUUAAUAAUUUACUUCCUAAACUCAACGCCACUCGGCUGACGGUUCCGACAGUGUUUCCCUUCUUCAAAGGAUCUCGUACGGCACUCGGGAAUGUUUGUAUAUCCCAUCCGAUGGGAGUAGAAAACGUGUGUAUGGGAGCGCCUUCAUUGCUGGGCUGCUUUUGCUUGUGGGUGGAAAGGAUGUGGAAGAAACGAACAUAUUUACCCGUUGUCUUUCACGGCUAAUCCUUAACGGUGCAGCAAGAUAGAGGUGACUUUUACGAACCUUACGCUACUCAUGAAGCGAUAGAGACAAUGUUUCUUCGUGCCGCGACGUGAUUUAAAUGCUAAAUGAGAACUCAUCGUUAAGCUGAAGUAUGAGUUUACUCUUCACUCCCCCACAACCGGUAAGGAUGAAAACCGUACAAGCAUCUGCGUGCCCACCUGUAAGAAACGUUCAAGAGCUUUCCUUUGCAAAACAGCACAUGUGCUCUUUAAUAGUAAAAUAAGUUUACUUUUAUUUUAAAAUCAAACGAAACCGAAUGAUCCUUUCCAUAAGGACACAGAUGGGACGCACACAAACAUUCAAUGAGCCGUAGUUAAGGGAUGAUGAAAAUUCCACCCAGCAAUGGCAUGCGCGUGUCCACGUAGUCAACUUCAAGCAACAACAAAAAACACAUGCUGACGUCACAGAGCUUUUGGUUUUCUCUGUCGGAAAACCAAACACAAUACAAGCGUCACACUUCAUCGACGUCAUGAAUUGUUUCGUUUGUACUUCGUACGUCGACGUCAGCAUUUCGUUUGUGUUGGUAAUUUUUCCACCCUUCAUUUGGUGAUUUUUCCUUCCCUUCUUUUGGUAGUGUUUGUGUGUGAACAGUACAAUUACACGCGGAGAGCGAGAGAGAGAGAGCGCGAGAACUUGCUAUUGAAUCAGUAUUUGUAAGCGUUGGUAUGAAGUGUUUGCUCAUCUACCAAACAGACAAUUAUUAAACAAAAAAAUCGUUCCUUCUUCUACGGAAAACCAAAAAUACCAAAAGUAAUCGUCCCUGUUGGUAUGUGUGUGUUUAUAUCAGUUUGUAUGGUUUAUUUUAUUGUGUUUUAAGUGAUUCUCUCCGCAACCACUCGCCGGUUCACGGUCGCUUUAGCGCAAAAGCUUCCGAUUUUUCGCUUCCUGCACGCCAUUUCGCCACGUCGGCAAAAGAUGCGUGAUAAGAAAAUCGGACUAUCUUUACGGUGCUUUUGCUAUUUGAUUUUUGAAAUUUUCUUUUUUUUUUGGUGUUGGAUCCGUUUUUCAGUGGCGUGGGAUAACAAUUAGAGAAGUGUGUAAAGCUUUCGUGAACAUCUGUUAGAUGACGUCAUUGAAAGAGUGUUCUCUCGUAUGUUGUACAAUUUUUUUUUAUUUACCACAUAAAAACAUCUUUUUUUAAUUUUUUGUAAAUGUGGAUGGGUGAUUGUUAAAUGUGUGUGUUUUUUUCGGUUUCUUUUGCUUUUUUGAUGCAUCCGGUCGUUGUGUCGAUUAUUGUAAGUGCCGGAAACGUAUCCCGAUUUACAGCCAAAUGGUUGCCUUCCGUAUAAGUGUUUGGUCUCUGUGUCGAUGACAACGGGACGCAAAAGCUUCAUCCGGGAGGUAUGGUUUUCAAAAGCCUCCCUGAAAGAGGUAUUUCGAUUUGCCGAAAAUGCAUUCUACUUCAAAUGUUGCCAAAAGUGCACAAAUGUGCCAAUCCGGUUGUGAGGAUUGUCCGAACAGGAAAGUAUAUCCUUUUUCGAUACUUGUAUUGCAACGCUCCAAACGUUCGCUAAACGUGCGGGCGGGUAAACAAAUAUGGCCAGAGAAGAAGGUCGCCAUUUGUUGAAACUGGUUUACCAUUUGUAACCUCCCGGAUGUCAUCCACACAUCCAUUUCGAGGAUAUCGCUCACAGUCGAACGCUGUGUUUGCUGAACUGCACCCUACAGCCCGAUUCAAUCCCACUCCAAACUGGGACGGGGAGAGGCUUUUGGAGCGAUUCCGAAGCCGGAAGGUACUCAACAAGCUGGACUUGUUUCCACUCCUCCUCCCUGCCUCUUCUUCUUUUUGUUUCCCCAAAAACCUCCCCCCAACCGUCUAUAUCCCUCUCGAAAAGCUUCAUCAUCGUACAGCAUCAUCAGCGUUUGCAUUGACUUUGCGCGGUUUCGGUUGGCAAAUAUUUGUCGGUGUCCUUCGAGAAUGGACUCCGGAUGAACGUCAUGCCGGGCAUGUGAUAUGCUCGGCACAUACCGUUGUCACCGAGAUCGUUGCAACUCUUUAUCAAAUCCUUGCCGAUUGCCGGGACCGAUGGAGGCGCAUGGGAAUGGACAACAAAAAUAAAGCAAAAAAAAACACAGAAAAAACCGAAACGUUGUACGUAACCGACUCACGAGCUACACAUACAGAUGCUGGGCCGUGCCUGGUUGUUACCGGCAGUGGAGGAGGCACAGACGAAGCAAACGAUGGCAGCUGACUUCUUAAUUUAGUUUGCAACGAGAGUUCCGGGGCAAAAUAGCGGAUGAGUUCGUAGAAAGACUCGACUCAAAUUGCUGUUCCCGGAAUAGGAAUUCAAUUACCUUUUGCCCCAUUGAAACGUAAUCAAUAUGAAAUUUGUUCUUACUUUAUUUGCUUUAAAUGUACCGAUUGCUAACAGAUGGGUUAGCGAUAAUACGAGACCAUUCGAUACAUUUUUAUCUGUUUGCUAUCGUUGAGCGUUUUGUUAACGGCGUUUAAGUUACUCAGAGAAAUUUAUUAAACAAAAUCAAACAAAUUUUAAAAGAACGUUUCUUCGUUGUAUUGCAAUUAAUUGAAUACAGAACAGAGCUGUUUUUCUAUUUACUUUUGUAUAUUUUGUAGCGUUUACUGAUUUAUGAAAAGAUUUUCUUUCGAACUCUCCCCUUAGUUCUGCUUAUGUUUGCAAAAGCAUACAUCGUAAUAGAAUUUUCCGCUCAACGCGUCAUACAUAUCUUCUAUCUGUAUCUUCGCUUAUCCUUCUACCUUUUGCCCUCCAUGUUGCGUGGGGACAGCACGAAAUCAAGCCAAGAACGCCUUAGAAAACCCAUUUCAUCCAAGGAAACGUUAAAAACCAACAAGGCAAAAGCAAACGAAAUUGAACGAAAAGCGGGCAAGUUUUCGAUCCCACAAAACCGCAGUCUUUUGAAGGAUUCCAACCGGAACCGGAACUUCCGGUAGAUCUGCACCGAGCUGCCCCAUUCACAAGGUGGAGAACGUUGCGCUAUAGAGGUUUCAGAGGUUUUCCUGUUUGCAUUUUAUCUUGCUACUAAAAGCCCAGAAAACCGCACACACACACACGUACAUCGCAGACGGAAGAAAAUGCCCGAAACGGCGGUCCAGGGGAAUGGGAAUGUGCCUUUAGUCGUUUUGGGGUUUUUCGUUUUUGUCCCUUCGCGAUCUCUCUCUCUCUCUUUCUCUUCCUAAACACGUCACGAGUGCAGAAAUGGUGCUGCCAAAAUCAGACAACAUUGCGUUUUUGGGGACAGUGUCGGACGGAGUGGCACCGUUGAAAUGAAAUAACCACACGCACACAUACACACAUACCUCUCCACCCGGGGGUGACUAUUGGGGAAGUCUGGAAAAUCCGGAAUGUACGCCGAGCAUGUUUUCGUGGUCGGUGAUAGUUGGUGCGGUUUUUUCGGCAAAGGACAAUCAGCAGCAGCAGGCCUCAGAUGACAACGCCUCGCGUGAUGUUUGCUGGUGAUGCUGACGAUGACGACGAUGAUGAUGGUGACGGUGGUGGCCAAUGAUGACGGUUGGCUGUGGGCGAAUUUCCAGCCAACCAAAAUUUCCUCAGAUCACGGCGGAGAUAACAGUAAUUAAGCUUACGGGCCCACAGCCGCUAGCAUGUAGCGAGAACACAGCAGCACACAGCGCCUUAUCUUGGAACCACAUGGGAUGAUAAUGUUUGCCGAGGAAGAAUUCAUGGUAGAUGAAUGGUUGUAGUAAGUUGAAGGGAAGGAAUGUCAAAGGAACAAGGGACGGGCAAAGGCGACCCUUAUUGCUUGUAGAGCAGUGGGUAAAAACAAAACGAAAAACGAACCGAAAAACCCACUACCCAAAUCGGGCACUAUCUGCUCCAGACGGGAAAGGGCCCUGACACUGGACAUUCCGGAGCCAAGCGAACCGGAAACCCAGGGACCGGUUUCGGAAUCGGCUUAAUUUAACGACAAGAUUUCCCUUUUAAUUUGCACGGUUUCCUGGGUACGGCCUGCCUGGACUCGUGAUCCUGUCCCGGGACACGCUGUAUGAUGUGAUAUUAAGCGCUUUUGUUCCCAGAUUUUGCCGUGCCUACCGUCUUCGAAGCUAACUAUGAAUUAAAAACAGGUCACGGGAUGAGAUUUACUUUCCUUUCAGCUUUUCUGAGGACGUCCGUUUGAUUUCUAAUUUACUUUUGUAAGCGCAGAGUGCAUUUUACCAUGCAUACUGGAAACGGUGGAAGUUAAUUAAAUCGAGUUCACUAUUUUAAUUUGGCUCUUUCAAACACCGCUGUUUAUAAAUAAAUGGAAUGGUAUUUGAUUCAUGUAUUGAAAUUCUUUGAAUGAAAAUACACGCUGCUCUCACUGAAGUACAUCAAACAAAUUUGAAUUUCUUGACCUAUCAAUGGAAAGGUCGUCGGAUGGAAAUGCCCAAUUUAUAUAAUAGUUUUUGAAUAAGUGGAAUGGAUGAAUGGAAUGUUGAUUUAUUUUAAUUAGAAAAAUCUCAUCAUCACCUUCCAAAGAAUUUGUAAAUUUUUGGACAAUUCAAAAAUUAUAUAUUAUGAAUAAAAUAAAAUGCAAAUACAUUCGGUUCUGUGUGCGCACACUGCAUUUUUAGAAGAAAAAAAACCAAUUUCCAUUCUAAAAUUACUCAUUGAAAGUACGAUCUGAAGCAAAUAGUCACGAACAGAAAGGAUCGCAGUUGUAAUCAAAAACACAGCUGGAAUAAAGAAACGGACGAGAAACAGACAUAUAAAAAGACGGCAAUGUAUUGUCGCGUCAUUAGAUAUAGCUGUUGACAGCCAGCGGGCCGAACCGAACGUGACAACCAAUGCCGGAACAGAUCAUCAACCAGCGGAAGCGAAAUAAAAGGGAAUCGACGAAAGACGGCAGCAGGAGAGCGCAAAGCAAUAGAAAUCCGUUUCAAUGCGUGGGAUUAUGCUACAUUGUAGCUGUGCAUCGGUUGCACGGCCGGCGUGACCCGUGUGAAUGCAGCAAACGGGUACCAUCGUAUGCGCUGAACUUGAGAUGAAUGCACUCAAACAUAAGGAACAAGCAGCAACGGCAAAGAUGAAUGCAUGGAAUGCAGAUUGGUGGUGGUGGUAGUUUAGAGAACAUCUUUGCAGCUCGUUGCUCUUUCCAAGUCUUGACUUUCCAGUAUAAUACCACAAAACCCGGUAGCAGUACGCAGUACAAUGCAUCGGAAUGUAUAAUGCAAAUGCCGCAUGUCUCGGCACGCUUGGGUACCGGCGUCAUUAUGUUACCGGAGUUCGACACCCAAUCCGUACUCGGGAUGGAAAUUCUUACACGGUUUCACACCGUUCAAGAAAUGGCCGACGAUGGGCGAAAGGUUCACUAUUAUAUUCUCAAUAUUAUAAUAAUUGAGCAUGUCGUCGGUUGGCAGUGUGGUCGCUUAUCAGGGUACCGCAAUCUUAAAUCUCACAUUUUCGGCUUGUUCGACGUGAUUAAACGGAUGUCACACCAUCGGCACGUACCAGAAAUAACAAUUCCCCGUCAGCCAGUACGUCACCAGUGUCCUACGCGAACGAAUUCUCUCGAUGGUCAUUUACGGUUCAACCGUUCCAGGGUUUUUUUGAGGGUUUCGUGCCGCUAUCGGUAGGUCAAAAUCGGUCACGCUUUAAAAAAGAAACCCCCGGAGGUGGGACGGGUUCAAAGCUAACAGCGGAAGAUUUCCCCUUGGCCGUCAACAACCAUCUGGAAUGGUGAUAAAACCACGAUCGUCAGGUAUGUAUUAUAAUGGUUUGCAACGAGGCAGUAGAAUAAAAGUACCGAGCGUACCGAAACUAGCUGUCAAAAAGGUUGGGUGGCUUUCCCCAUCCACGAACAACCGAUAAGAGGAAGCUAUACGGAUGCUGGUGCGGAUGGUGAGGAGAGGGCAGUAAAUGAGUAACCAGAUGACGUUCCGGAAAGAUGUUCAAAAUUUGAUUCUUCUUGGUGGCAGCUUCAUUUGGCGGGGAAUUUCGCACACUGUGAGAGAUGUGAGAACUGCGUGCUGGGAGCUUUUCUUUUUUUUGUGGUGAAAGCAUCGGAAAGAAUGAACGAGUGAGAGGUUAUGUUGCGUUGAUCUUCAACAACCCGGAAUAUGAACGCACUGCCGGUCGUCGACCACCUCCAACAUCCGCUGAGCCGUACCUCGCCGUACCAGUUGGCUCAAUUUCUUCAGACACAGUUGAGAGUUUGCCGAUCGUUACACUCUCGUACCCUCUCUAGCUUACUAUCAAAACCCGGGAGCGCGCAUGAGCGCUGAUAAAAAAGGCCGUACCGAAAGACGCCCCGUAUUCGCCGUGGCUGACUCUAUACUGCUGCCGUUGAUACGGCAAACUCCUAUCAGUGGAGAACUCCGUAACAUCAUCGGCAUCCUCAUCAUCAUCAUCGUCGUCAGCUUCAACAUAUCUCACACACGCAAAGCCACGGUCGGUGUGCGUGCCGGUUCCGUUGUGACUUCCAGUACAUGCGGUUGUCGUUUUCUGUCACCCAAAAAACAAAACAAAAAAACCUUUGCCCCGAACUCGCGCGCGCACUCACACCGACUGCUCGUGUCUCGGGUCAUCGUGGUGCGUGGUACCCGGUCCCGGAGAGGGAGUCGCAAGAUUCAUUCAUUCGUCACAACGCUACGCAACGUAACGCAUAAGAUAUCGCACCGUACCACGUUCUGUAGAUUGCGUGCUAACGCUUCUAUACCGGUGACUCUGUGUGUGUGUGUGUGGGGACAUAAUUUCGUCGAUAGUGUUUCAUUUGUUUUCGGUUUGUUGUCGAUCGUUUGUUAUUAGUGCAUCGUCACAGGGUCACAGGCUGAAGGAUACUAGAAGUGUACUAGAACCAAGGUCCUCGAACGCAAGUUCUGGAGUGAUGAUGAUAACCAUAUGGUAGAGAAGCUAGUGUGUUUGUGCGUGAAACAGGUGGCAUUUAGUGUAGCGGUGUAAAUCUUCCAGUACUCCUGCUAGUAGUUACGUACAGGUGAUGCAUUUUUGGAGGUUAGAGUACUGACGGCUACUACCACGCAUCAAUACGCAUGAAAGUGGACACCGUACGGUCCAUACGGAAGCGGCACUGAUACCAUAUUGUAUCUGUUUUCGCUCAUUAGUGUCCACAGUGCCCCAUAUGUGGUGAUCGAGUUUAGUGUUAGUAGUGUUUCAAACCAAUGCCAACGUUGUAGCAUAUUGUUCGAUUUUGGUGAAGCUAUUUUGCUUUUUUUCCCCCAUAUCAACUACACACUCCUGCGGUGAUCACACUUGUCACACAUUACAACACUCCGCGAGGGUGUCGAAAGGCCUCCUAUCACGUGGCAUUGGUGGUGCGCGCAUGUUAGUGAGUGUUCAUUCCAUUUGAUUACCAUCCAGAGUCACACUUCAUCAAGCAUUCUAGCGGAAGUAAGCUUCAGCAGUCACGAUUCAGCACGCUCCUAUAUUAUUUUCUUCGCCGAAAGUAACCGGGUAAGAUGAAACGCUUGAGUCGCCUUGGCAGAAAUAAUCCACCAAAAACUGCUCAAAAGUCACUCCAUCGAGAGCUAGCUUCCUAGCAACUUUGGUGGUCGUACGCUACCAGCCCCAAAACGGCAGAUUAACAAUUGAAAGUUAAUGUAGUGUAACAGUGUCCGUGGUGCAAAAAAAGGACACUAAGCGACGAAACCUUUGUCUCUCCGGUCUUACUGUGGUGCCGAUAAUUGCUGAUAAAAUCUCUCCAGCUUUUCCGGCCGGAACGAACGGGUUGUGUCGUUGUGGUGGUACGGCUAUCAACAACCGUCCACGAUGAGCUGUUUGAGGGGCGUUCGUCCGGUGGAUAAACAAAACCUCUUUCCUUUUCCCCUUAAGGGGAAGAUUUAUUCUGCAUCACAAAUUAGCUGCUGCUUUUUUAGCCAAAAAAAAGGUUCCUUGUCGGAAUAUUUAUGCUGCAGCAUGCACAACAGAAUAUUAGCGAAGACAGGAAAACAUGUUGAUAAAUUUAGUAAUGAAACCACGAAUUUAAAAUACCGGAAACUGAAUCAUGCCCGGCAUGUCCUACGCAAAGUCAAUCUGUUGCGGUUUCACUUCAUUUGUUGUUCAAACAGGGAACGUAUUAAAAAUAGACUAAUAAUUCGUAAAACCACAACGCCAAACCACCAAAGCCUGGGCGGCUUUUUAGUUUGGUUAAAAAACGACCUUACUUAGCGGUAGGUACCAAACGAAGGAAACAAAAAAAUAACAUCCCCAACCAGUGUGUGUGCCCGGCAAAGAUGCAAAGUGUGAGAAAAAUACUAAUGAAAAUCUGGCCAUUAUUUUACACCCGAGAGUCAGCUUCAUCUACCUUCUCUUCCUUCCCGGGUGGCCGUACGGGAAUGUUCCGAUUUGGCACGGAAGCGACAGAAACAUCUCGUUCAACUUUCCCCAUCUAUCGCAUGAUCUUUCUAUGCUCUCUAUCUCUCGUUCAUUGUACCUCGCCCGUCCCAAACAGCUUCACCUUCACUUUGUCUAUCAAAUUAUUAAGAUAAAGUUUUGGAAAUUAUAUUUUCCACCCUCGUCCAGCGCUAAUCUCAUUUUUAUCAUAUUUUAUGCAAAAGUUUAUGCGCAACCUUUCCCACGGAAGGCGAACGUACCGUACCCGUGGAACAGCUGGACGAAAAGUGGUUCUUGUGUGAGGACUCUGCCGACAGCCAGAAGCUUGUACGUGUGUGUACGUCUGUUCCUUUCAGGACUAUCGUUACGAUAUGCUGGCUGAUAAGAGAAAAGUGCUUUGAAAGUAUUUUCUGCGGUUUCGUCCGGAUUCUAGCGGCAUGCGGGGAAUCUCGAAAGCAGUUCCAGUUUUGGGCCCGGUGUUAUGCUUCACUUGUAUGUACAGUUGCUGCAAAUUUGUGAAUUUGCUGAUUAAACAAACAAAAAAAGAAACGAGUGACACGUUAAUGAGUAGGAAAUCACGACCCGCAUUGGUCCCGUGCUUCUCCGUGCGAUGAAGCGAACGUGUGGAGACUAUACGCUUAUGUCCCGGGAGCACAUGAAGUAGCAUCUAACGGCAUAUCACAGUCUUUAGACGACAAUCGGUGCGAAUGACAUAUCUUCCAUGGUGGAUGGACUUCAAAAGUCAAGUCCUACGUAAAUUUCUUUGCCCAAACUUACUUACAGCAUGACUCCCUUGGAGUGAACCAGAGCAAACUUAGUACCUCAGUUUAAUGCUGACCUUUCGAGAGCCGUGAGCUAAUAACAGCCACACACCAUCCAAGCAGACACCAAAAACGUCAUCGAAUCUACAGCGAUAACGUGCUCCUCUCGACAAAUAAACCCACAUGCGGCCGGUGGGCUUUUUGAGCUUGGCCGUUGGCCCACGGAUUUCGUUUGAAUUUCUCGGCACGUAGAUCCUCUUAAUUCUAAUUUAGAGAUCUAACAAUUCCAUCCACAAAAAUGAAGAUUACGUUGGAGGAGAACGUGCGCAGCAACAUUCUCCACAUCCCUAUCACCGGGAUGGCCUUCUGCUGGAGUUCUUUGGAGACACACGCCAGAGAAUGAUGGGAAAAUGCCAUCCGUUUGCCCGCUUUUGAUCCUUUCCGUUUGGUAGCGUUGGCCGUAAUUUCCGUUCGCGUACCGACCUGCAAACGCGUCGUACCAGAAGUGCUUGGAAUGGUUCCAUCGCUUGGAAUUUGUCAACCCUUUUCUUCGUUGGGUGUGACCUACGUGGGUCGAAAGGAGGUGCCUGUACUUCCACCGAAGAAACUGACACCAUCCGGCAAGCGUUGAUGGCAGGAAAAUGGAGAGAAGAAUCACCAGUGCAAAAUGGCAGAAGAAUUUAAUGAAAAUUUUCUCAGCUUUCACUCCCAUUCUAUAUGAACGUUUGUUACCGUCCCUCCUUCAAUGCUUUCUACCCACAGUUCCUCCAGACGUUGUACUCGCUUAAGCUCGCCAUAAAAAAAACUUCGCUGCAGAUAAAACGAAUAAUCAUAAAAAAGGACAAUUUUCUCGCCAGCAACUGAAGCAACAACAACAAAGACAAUGAAUAAAAUGCUUCACUCACAAGAAGGAAAAACACACACACACACACUGCAUAUGCGAUUUGUUCUACUCCACGGGGAUGCCGAUUAUGCUGAUGCUUUUUCCCACCGCGGGUACAAAGCUUCAAAACAAAAGGGCUCCAAAAUGACGAAGUGAAGAUAGAGCGAGAGCUAGAGAGAAAGAGAGAAAGAGACAGACGUAAAAGCACUGCCUAUCGAAAGAUUUUAUACGUACCUUCGGCAGAACGAUUGAAUCGCUUUUGUCGGUGAAAUGCGAAGGAAAUCGGGAACAAUGCCGGAACAAUGCCGGAAGUUGGAUCUUUAUUGUAUGGAAUAAAUUUCCUUUUGCUUAUGCCACGACCCGAACAACACACCAUCCCUGUCAUUCGCACCCCAUCAUUGACGUUUUCUUCGGUGACACUUUCCAAGUCACCCGGUCCCUACGUCGCCCGUGCGUAACACCCCGAGGACAAUGAUUCGUCGCCGGGUAUUCGUUCCCAUCUUCAGGUUGUGAAAAGGGGAGAAGAUGGGGAGGGGGGAGAUGUGGAGAAAACGUCCACAAGGAACAAUUCACGCUUGGUGAGAAUCAGUUUUGCUAAACAUAUCCGGUUCAGGGCGAGUUACGGAGGGUUUUGUUGGUAGUUCGGUUUCGGAGAAUUUGUUCCAAAAAUCUCGUCCAAAUUCUCGUCCAAGAAGGGCAUCUGGAAGGCUUUACCAAACAGGAACAAACUGAUGAUAUGGCCCUACAACAACCUAGUCGGGGAACACUAGCGAAGAUAUGCUUCACUUUAUGCAAUGAUUCCCUAUUUCAACCCGCUGCGUGUAUACUUGACGUGGGUUUUGGGGUGGCCAUCCACACGACUAAUCCCGCAACGGCAAACCCACCCCGGCGAAACACGGGAUCCGAUUGUCACCGUUUGCUGUCGGUUCUUUUUUCCUCGCCCGUUUCACCACCGCCUGACUCGUUACACCCUUGGCCCAUGUUGCAAGGUGUCGUCCGGGAUCGUGUAUGUUCCGUGUGCGUGUAUGCUUUUGAUUCGAUUUUCAAAUUUAGCCGGUUUAUUCAUUCUGUACAGCUAGCAAAUUGAGCAGCAGAAAUAAAGUAUUAUACGUAUCGCAUCCCUUUUCCUCCCCUUUUUGGAAAAUCAGUCACCACCAGCAUCUUUUUCCAGCAGGCCAAACAAAAAAAAAAGUUCGGUUUUUGGUUCUCCUUUUUUCAUCCCAAUCCGAGGGAGUGCUUUCUUUAUUGUAGGGGGCGGGGAUCGGCAGCAUGCGUAAAAUUUUAGCUAUCAUGUUUUGCGGAAAAUGUGCUUAAAUGAAGUUUCAAAAUCGAAAUGAACGGAAACCGUUCUUUUUUUUCAUUUAGCUGCAAGGAAUUGUUCUUGUUACGCUUACUUACGCUGAUAAGAUUAUACGCGUACGAAAUUUGAAGUCCUAAAAUAAGGGGAAAGCAAUGGAAACGGGUGGAAAUAAAAGAGGAACCAGUUAAACCGAGAGUGUAUGAAAAGAAUCCUUAGAGGUAGGGCUAAAAACGCACACGUGUUUUUUUUU